rnacentral:rRNA from 1 species
AUUGAACGCUGGCGGCAGGCCUAACACAUGCAAGUCGAGCGGAUGAAGGGAGCUGGCUCCUGUAUUCAGCGGCGGACGGGUGAGUAACGCCUAGGAAGCUGCCUGGUAGUGGGGGAUAACGUCCGGAAACGGGCGCUAAUACCUCAUACGUCCUGAGGGAGAAAGUUGGGGAUCUUCGGACCUCACGCUAUCAGAUGAGCCUAGGUCGGAUUAGCUAGUUGGUGGGGUAAAGGCCUACCAAGGCGACGAUCCGUAACUGGUCUGAGAGGAUGAUCAGUCACACUGGAACUGAGACACGGUCCAGACUCCUACGGGAGGCAGCAGUGGGGAAUAUUGGACAAUGGGCGAAAGCCUGAUGCAGCCAUGCCGCGUGUGUGAAGAAGGUCUUCGGAUUGUAAAGCACUGUAAGUUGGGAGGAAGGGCAGUAAGUUAAUCCCUUGCUGUUUUGACGUUACCAACAGAAUAAGCCACGGCUAACUUCGUG